GUGAGGAAUUUUCCGCAAUGGGCGAAAGCCUGACGGAGCAAUGCCGCGUGAAGGAUGAAGGCCUAUGGGUUGUAAACUUCUUUUCUUAGAGAAGAAUAUUGACGGUAUCUGAGGAAUAAGCAUCGGCUAACUCCGUGCCAGCAGCCGCGGUAAUACGGAGGGUGCAAGCGUUAUCCGGAAUCACUGGGUUUAAAGGGUACGUAGGCGGUUAAUUAAGUCAGUAGUGAAAGACUGUCGCUCAACGACGGAUGUGCUAUUGAUACUGGUUAACUUGAAUCAGGUUAGAGUUGGCGGAAUGGGUCAUGUAGCGGUGAAAUGCUUAGAUAUGACUUGGAACACCGAUAGCGAAGGCAGCUGACUGAGCCUUGAUUGACGCUGAGGUACGAAAGUGUGGGUAGCGAACAGGAUUAGAAACCCUGGUAGUCC
rnacentral:rRNA from 1 species